ACGUCGCAAGACCAAAGUGGGGGACCUUCGGGCCUCAUGCCAUCAGAUGUGCCCAGAUGGGAUUAGCUAGUAGGUGGGGUAACGGCUCACCUAGGCGACGAUCCCUAGCUGGUCUGAGAGGAUGACCAGCCACACUGGAACUGAGACACGGUCCAGACUCCUACGGGAGGCAGCAGUGGGGAAUAUUGCACAAUGGGCGCAAGCCUGAUGCAGCCAUGCCGCGUGUGUGAAGAAGGCCUUCGGGUUGUAAAGCACUUUCAGCGGGGAGGAAGGCGAUAAGGUUAAUAACCUUGUCGAUUGACGUUACCCGCAGAAGAAGCACCGGCUAACUCCGUGCCAGCAGCCGCGGUAAUACGGAGGGUGCAAGCGUUAAUCGGAAUUACUGGGCGUAAAGCGCACGCAGGCGGUCUGUCAAGUCGGAUGUGAAAUCCCCGGGCUUAACCUGGGAACUGCAUUCGAAACUGGCAGGCUAGAGUCUUGUAGAGGGGGGUAGAAUUCCAGGUGUAGCGGUGAAAUGCGUAGAGAUCUGGAGGAAUACCGGUGGCGAAGGCGGCCCCCUGGACAAAGACUGACGCUCAGGUGCGAAAGCGUGGAGAGCAAACAGGAUUAGAUACCCUGGUAGUCCACGCCGUAAACGAUGUCGAUUUGGAGGUUGUGCCCUUGAGGCGUGGCUUCCGGAGCUAACGCGUUAAAUCGACCGCCUGGGGAGUACGGCCGCAAGGUUAAAACUCAAAUGAAUUGACGG
rnacentral:rRNA from 1 species